rnacentral:rRNA from 1 species
GGCGGACGGUUGAGUUACACUUGAAUAUUCUGUCCUCAAGUCCGGGAUAACCAGGUGAAAGUCGGGCUAAUCUGGGUUAAGUGAGAGUGUGGCAUCACACAAUCAGAAAGUUCGUUUGAGGAGGAGUUCGCGGCAUAUUAGCUAGCUUGUGAGGUAAUGGCUCACCAGGUCUACAAUUUAUAUCUGGUCUGAGAGGACGAUCAGUCACACUGGAACUGAGACACGGUCCAGACUCCUACGGGAGGCAGCAUUGGGGAAUCUUCCACAAUGGGCGCAAGCCUGAUGGAGCAACGUCGCGAGAGUGAAGAAGGUCUUCGGAUUGUAUUGCUCUGUCCUUAGGGAAGAUGACGGUACCUUUGGAGGAAGUACUGGCUAACUACCUGCCAUCACCCGCGGUAAUAAGUAUAGUGCAAGUUAUUUCCGGAAUUAUUGGGCGUAAAGGGUUCGCAGGCGGAUAUUCAAGUCAGGCGUGAAACGUGUCGGCUUCACCGACAGACUGCGUUUGAAAUUGAAUAUCGUGAGUGUUACAUAGGAGAGUGGAAUUCCUAGUGUAGUGGUGAAAUACGUAGAUAUUAGGAAGAACACCAUUGGCGAUGGCGACUCUCUGGGUUAACACUGAUGCUGAGGUACGAAAGCUGGGGGAGUGAACGGUAUUACAUACGCCGGUAGUCCCUGCCGUAAACGAUGUAUACUAUGAGUUGCACCUUCAGUGCCGGAGUUAACUCAUUAAGUAUCCCUCCUGGUGAUUACGAUCGCAAGAUUGAAACUCAAGGAAUUGACUGGGGCCCGCAACU